rnacentral:rRNA from 1 species
CACGUAGGGUACGAGCGUUGUCCGGAAUUACUGGGCGUAAAGAGCUCGUAGGUGGUUUGUCGCGUUGUCCGUGAAAACUCACAGCUCAACUGUGGGCGUGCGGGCGAUACGGGCAGACUGGAGUACUGCAGGGGAGACUGGAAUUCCUGGUGUAGCGGUGGAAUGCGCAGAUAUCAGGAGGAACACCGGUGGCGAAGGCGGGUCUCUGGGCAGUAACUGACGCUGAGGAGCGAAAGCGUGGGGAGCGAACAGG